AACGCAUUAAGCGUCCCGCCUGGGGAGUACGGCCGCAAGGCUAAAACUCAAAGGAAUUGACGGGGGCCCGCACAAGCGGCGGAGCAUGCGGAUUAAUUCGAUGCAACGCGAAGAACCUUACCUGGGCUUGACAUGUUCCCGACAGCCGUAGAGAUAUGGCCUCCCUUCGGGGCGGGUUCACAGGUGGUGCAUGGUCGUCGUCAGCUCGUGUCGUGAGAUGUUGGGUUAAGUCCCGCAACGAGCGCAACCCUCGCCCUGUGUUGCCAGCACGUCAUGGUGGGAACUCACGGGGGACCGCCGGGGUCAACUCGGAGGAAGGUGGGGAUGACGUCAAAUCAUCAUGCCCCUUACGUCCAGGGCUUCACGCAUGCUACAAUGGCCGGUACAACGGGAUGCGACACGGCGACGUGGAGCGGAUCCCUGAAAACCGGUCUCAGUUCGGAUUGGAGUCUGCAACCCGACUCCAUGAAGGCGGAGUCGCUAGUAAUCGCGGAUCAGCAACGCCGCGGUGAAUGCGUUCCCGGGCCUUGUACACACCGCCCGUCAAGUCAUGAAAGUGGGUAGCACCCGAAGCCGGUGGCCUAACCUUUGUGGAUGGAGCCGUCUAAGGUGAGACUCGUGAUUGGGACUAAGUCGUAACAAGGUAGCCGUACCGGAAGGUGCGGCUG
rnacentral:rRNA from 1 species